rnacentral:sRNA from 1 species
GGCCAAUGAACACAUCCUGAUUGGAUAC